rnacentral:sRNA from 1 species
UAUUCUGCCCCACGGGGAAGGAUGAGAAGCUUCGACUAAGGUUCGACUCGAGCGCCAGCGAGAGAACGUUGCCGCAGGCAACGGCCCGAAGGGCGAGGCGCUUUAGCGCCGAGUAAUCCUUCCCCCACCACUG